GACGAACGCUGGCGGCGUGCCUAAUACAUGCAAGUCGAACGCACUCUCGUUUAGAUUGAAGGAGCUUGCUCCUGAUUGAUAAACAUUUGAGUGAGUGGCGGACGGGUGAGUAACACGUGGGUAACCUGCCCUAAAGUGGGGGAUAACAUUUGGAAACAGAUGCUAAUACCGCAUAAAACCUAACACCGCAUGGUGUAGGGUUGAAAAAUGGUUUCGGCUAUCACUUUAGGAUGGACCCGCGGUGCAUUAGUUAGUUGGUGAGGUAAAGGCUCACCAAGACCGUGAUGCAUAGCCGACCUGAGAGGGUAAUCGGCCACACUGGGACUGAGACUCGGCCCAGACUCCUACAGGAGGCAGCAGUAGGGAAUCUUCCACAAUGGACGAAAGUCUGAUGGAGCAACGCCGCGUGAGUGAAGAAGGUUUUCGGAUCGUAAAACUCUGUUGUUGGAGAAGAAUGUAUCUGAUAGUAACUGAUCAGGUAGUGACGGUAUCCAACCAGAAAG
rnacentral:rRNA from 1 species